AAGUCGUAACAAGGUCUCCGUAGGUGAACCUGCGGAGGGAUCAUUACAAGUGACCCCGGUCUUACCACCGGGAUGUUCAUAACCCUUUGUUGUCCGACUCUGUUGCCUCCGGGGCGACCCUGCCUUCGGGCGGGGGCUCCGGGUGGACACUUCAAACUCUUGCGUAACUUUGCAGUCUGAGUAAACUUAAUUAAUAAAUUAAAACUUUUAACAACGGAUCUCUUGGUUCUGGCAUCGAUGAAGAACGCAGCGAAAUGCGAUAAGUAAUGUGAAUUGCAGAAUUCAGUGAAUCAUCGAAUCUUUGAACGCACAUUGCGCCCCCUGGUAUUCCGGGGGGCAUGCCUGUUCGAGCGUCAUUUCACCACUCAAGCCUCGCUUGGUAUUGGGCAACGCGGUCCGCCGCGUGCCUCAAAUCGACCGGCUGGGUCUUCUGUCCCCUAAGCGUUGUGGAAACUAUUCGCUAAAGGGUGUUCGGGAGGCUACGCCGUAAAACAACCCCAUUUCUAAGGUUGACCUCGGAUCAGGUAGGGAUACCCGCUGAACUUAAGCAUAUCAAUAAGCGGAGGAAAAGAAACCAACAGGGAUCGCUCUAGUAACGGCGAGUGAAGCAGCAAUAGCUCAAAUUUGAAAUCUGGCGUCUUCGACGUCCGAGUUGUAAUUUGUAGAGGAUGCUUCUGAGUAACCACCGACCUAAGUUCCUUGGAACAGGACGUCAUAGAGGGUGAGAAUCCCGUAUGCGGUCGGAAAGGUGCUCUAUACGUAGCUCCUUCGACGAGUCGAGUUGUUUGGGAAUGCAGCUCUAAAUGGGAGGUAAAUUUCUUCUAAAGCUAAAUAUUGGCCAGAGACCGAUAGCGCACAAGUAGAGUGAUCGAAAGAUGAAAAGCACUUUGGAAAGAGAGUUAAAAAGCACGUGAAAUUGUUAAAAGGGAAGGGAUUGCAACCAGACUUGCUCGCGGUGUUCCGCCGGUCUUCUGACCGGUCUACUCGCCGCGUUGCAGGCCAGCAUCGUCUGGUGCCGCUGGAUAAGACUUGAGGAAUGUAGCUCCCUCGGGAGUGUUAUAGCCUCUUGUGAUGCAGCGAGCGCCGGGCGAGGUCCGCGCUUCGGCUAGGAUGCUGGCGUAAUGGUCGUAAUCCGCC
rnacentral:rRNA from 1 species